rnacentral:rRNA from 1 species
GACGAACUGUCCUAACGUUGUUCGGAAUCACUGGGCUUAAGGGCGCGUAGGCGGUCCGCCAAGUCAGGGGUGAAAUCCUGCAGCUUAACUGUAGAAGUGCCUCUGAUACUGGCGGUCUUGAGGGAAAUAGGGGUGUGCGGAACUUCCAGUGGAGCGGUGAAAUGCGUUGAUAUUGGAAGGAACGCCGGAGGCGAAAGCGGCGCACUGGAUUUCUUCUGACGCUGAGGCGCGAAAGCUAGGGGAGCAAACGGG